rnacentral:lncRNA from 1 species
AAAUAUUGCGGUGGUUUGUCAAACGUAUUCCUAAACUGAAAAAGAAGAGAUUAAAAUUUAAAAGCGCAAGGUUGCUGUAAUCAUUUUCGUAUAGACAUGUCAAAAAGUACACUAAUGUGUUUUCUUAUAUUAUUAAACAUACAUGGAUGUUUCAUGGUGCAGCCCAGAGCAAGGUUGAAUACAAAGAAAAACAUGGUCCAGCUGAAAUCAGUUCAGACGCUGAAAGGCAAUGACUUUACCACCUUCCGUAAAACGAUGGCUAAAGAGAUGGGUGUUGAAGACGCUUUGCUGGUUUCUAAAGCGGCACGUGACAUGUUCAUCAAAAACGGAAAAUACAUAGAUUUGAAAAACAAUCAACAAAGAGGCAGAAUAGCAGCUAUGCUACUAUCAGCUCUGUGUUCUGCCUGUGAAAGGAACUGUAGCUGUCUUCGUAGGUUGGAAUGCUCCCCAGCAUGCUAGAUGUACUAGUAUUCUAUAGGAUACUCGUGAAACAGUCCAUAUGCACAGUCAUAUAUAUAUCAAUCUUUUGUAUUUAAUAUCCCUUGAGGUCAAGGACGCACUAUAUGACUACAUAUAGAAUUUUAUUGUAGUUUAUUCGUGCCUAUUUUUUUCUUAAUGAUAUAAAUAGUCUGUAUUCUUCAAAAAGAUGAAUUGACGAUUAUUAUAUUCUUUACUGACCCAACCUCCUUAUGUAAUUUUUCCAGUUUGAAACUCCGGCUAAAUAUUGAUAAAACUUAAGUGAUGACUUUUUAAAGAAAUAACCUACACAUACAGUAAAAGUAGUCAAAUCAUUUAAACAUCUUAGGUUCACUUCUUUAAAAAUUGCAUCUUGACUAGGCUUCAAAACAAGGUUUUUCAAAAAUAUGUCGGUUUCCCCUCAUGAUCAGUUUUCGGUUUACGAUCAGCGUGAUUUAUCGGAAUAUAAUAAAUAGAAAAUAAACUAGUCCUUUGUAAUUUUAAACCCUGUUACUGAGAUAUGGAAAUACACUGAAGGUCGUUGCAUGCAAGUCAUACAAUCUAACAUUUGUAGUAAACUAUUACGUGUCCAUUCUACUACUUUAAAUGCAAACAGUGGAGAAUGCGAUUGAAAUAUUAAAUGAUUGCAGGAGGAAAGUCAUAAAUGUUUAAAUUGGACAAAAUUGGUGAAAUAAAUCUAAACCAGUCUUUGUUGGCCUAAGACCACAUUUUUUUUUUACCAUAUGUUCUAAAUAGGCACUAGACACUAUUGCAAUUUUGCAUGCAUUCCAAACCACGUAAAAUAUCUGCACUCAACAGAACUCUUCAAGAGAAAACUCCAGCCACAAUUAUAAUCAUAAAUUGAUUUUUUUAAUCAAAUUUCUAUGUAAUUGGCUCUGUCUACUUAACAAAUCUUUAGAUGCUGCAUAACAUGGAACAUGCAGCUGAAAAUGUUUCUCUCGUAAGAAUGACAACGAAAAGGCCAAAUUCAUAUAGCACAACAGAACAAAACGAGUUCUAUGUGAACUGUUGUGACUUCUCAGCCUCCGCUGUCUGUUCUUCAACAUUUUAUUCGAACGACAGCUUUUCUGAAGUCAUUUGUAGGAAAAAGAAAAUUGAUGAAACUUGACCUUGAUUUAAUAAGUUGUUUAGAAAUGUUUCUUACCUUGUCCGCUACCAAGACUGGUCAAAUUAUUCCUAUUCGUCAAAAUACACGAUCGCACAAGUCAUUUAUUAGUGACUCUCUACCAAGAUUAUUCAAAUUACACCGAUUUAUCAAAGCUAUUACCGGCAGAGGGUCGCCACUUUAUCCUUUUCUAUAUAGUGUAAACUUUAAAAAUUGUCCGAAACUUCUGGCCUGACUUUGGAGCAGUUUUCCACAAAUGUUUGAAGAUAUGAAGAUUAUUUCAUUUAUAAAACUCGUCAAAAAAAAAAAAAAAAAAACAACCGCGAGAGACAAACAUAGAAAAAUCUUUUAACGACAUCUCCUCCUUAAAACUGCUGGCAUGUCUUCGAAAUUAUUAGGUAGAAACUGGUAUAGCAGAAUCUGUUAGGAACGGGGGAGCAAACCACACUUAGCUAAGUCUAUAGCCACAACAAGUUGUUAUAAUCCUGUAAGUCCGUCUGAGCUAGCUGUCCGACAUAUAAAUUUGCAUAUCCAAAGCUGGUGUUUGACACAUUACACUGCGUGCAUGCAGAUGAAGGUAAAAUAGACGCGGGAUAAAGUUUUAAAUCCUCUAUAUGGGCCUGUUUCACAAACAUUUAUAAAUUUCAUCCGAAGUUCACUUCUAAGUAUGAAACUUACAUACUAUUUAACUUGUAUUGUUUGAAAACGGUGUCAAUAAUUCAAUUUAAUGACAGUUCUACUUUAUUUUUCUUUCGCUCAGAUUUUAAGAACAGCUGUAUAGAUAAAAUGAAUCUAUUUAAAAGGAUAUUCAUAAAACACCUUACUCAUAAUUUCUAAUUUUGUCCUAAAUAGGCUUGGUGAAACAGCCCCUGGUCGGGAUUUUUUUUCUCACUCUCCAUUAAACAAUUAUGUUAUAUUUUGCCCUUUACAUAUAGAGAGAAUAAACCUUAGGCAGUGACCUAUACAACAAAAGCUUGUAAUAUCAGUCAAGGUUUUGCAUUUUUGUAAGAAAGGUUAUUUACAUUUGACACAGGCAAAGCAUCAAGUUAAAUAUGUUUUUGUUGUUAUUUACUAAAUUUGAAAAAAAAGCAAACCCUCAAAUAAAACAAAGCAAAAUGACAUUUUCACGUAUAUAUACAUCAAUUAGUAAACUCUUGAAUGCUUUCAGUAGAAGCGAAGAUUCAACCGGUAUCAAUCCUUAGACAUUUUGUACAUUCUGUCUUAUAUUUUUAUCUAUAGAACUUAUUUCGAAAAUCUGAGAAUGAAGUGCCUGGCGUUUAAGAACACAUUUACUAAUUUGUUAAAAUAUCAUGUAAAUUUUGGUGUCAAUGGCUUUUCUCCUGAUUUGGACGUUUGCGCAUUUUGAUAUCUGUCUGUAUUCCAGAUACAUUUCAAUGUACAGACACAUUAGGCGUAAAAAAUGUUUGUUUCCGGUAUCCCGACCUACCCUAAUUUUUUGGCCCGACCCUAAAUGUUUUUAUGGCCGUGGAGAACUUUUUUUUUCAACUUUUUAACAAAAAGUUACAAAACUGUACAUUUUAUGCUUUAAACAUGGCCAGUGAUGUUAGAAAUCAACUCAUUGAACAUUACAGUACUCGCAAAUAGCAUAAACGUAUGAUACUUACACAGGCAAACAAUAGAAUUAAUUAUAUUUGCCCAUAUAUAGAAGUAUGCCAGCAGUAUUAAAAGUAGAGUCGCAAUCGUAUCAAUGAUAGCUCUAUGCAGUAGUGUGGUUUCUGUUUAAUUCUAAUAACGCUUCCAUACUGUAAAUUUAUCUGAACAAAAGCUUUUCACAUAUAUAUGUGAACCACAAAUUUGCUUUCAAAGGAAGUAGAAUAGAAACGACUUUUACAGUCCAUAGCAAAUCAUCUCCAAAAGAAUAAAAUUACCCCUGAAAAAAAAAUGGUCUCAUACAUGCAACCAAUGCUUUUUAAGAAAUGCACCAUUUUUACAUAUCUAAUUUGCCGAACGUCAUCUGCAUUAAAUCUGCACUGAAUCAUUUUUAUACAUUUUGCAUGGCGAUGUUUUAGUCUGUUUUCAUGUUUUAGUAAGAAAAUAAAGUCAAGCUGUGUUCUUAUAAGUGUUCUUACACGGAAAUACAUUCUCCGAUUUGUUUGGGUAUGUUAUAUCAAUAAAAGUAUAAAACAAAA